rnacentral:rRNA from 1 species
UACGUAGGGGGCAAGCGUUGUCCGGAUUUAUUGGGCGUAAAGAGCGUGUAGGCGGCCAGACAGGUCCGUUGUGAAAACUCGAGGCUCAACCUCGAGAUGUCGAUGGAAACCGUCUGGCUAGAGUCCGGAAGAGGAGCGUGGAAUUCCUGGUGUAGCGGUGAAAUGCGCAGAUAUCAGGAAGAACACCUAUGGCGAAGGCAGCACUCUGGGACGGUACUGACGCUGAGACGCGAAAGCGUGGGGAGCGAACAGG